UCUUGGCAUUUACCCCAAAUAUUGGGGCAUCGUCUGGACUACACGCCUCUUUGCUAGUCUUGCUUGCGCAAGCAUGAAAUUCAGCCGCGACAUUAAGUAGGCCGUGCCGAAAUAUGAAGUGGUGGUGCAUCCUUGGUAAAGGGGCUACAUUUG
rnacentral:sRNA from 12 species